rnacentral:lncRNA from 1 species
UUCGCACUUUCUGCUCAGUCAAAGCGAGCUCGGAUACUUUUAAUUCCUACAACAUAGUGUAGAGAGGAGACGAGGUUAAGGCAGGACUGAUAGGGGGUGUUUUAUUAGUUACUCAGCACCUCAGGUCUACAGUACAGGCUGUCUGCUGUCCGCGGACACUUCUCCAAAAACUGCAAGAGAAAAAACAAAACAAAACAAAACAAAACAAACAAAAAAAAAACACCGACACAAAUCAGCGACUUUUUUUUUUUUUUGGUGCGAUUCGAGCGCUGAAAUUCAGGCUGAUUGUCGAGAAAAACUUAGUGAAACUCCGCUGGUUGCCUCUAAACAGAUCACUCAUGGAAAGCCAUCUUCUAUAUUAAAAAUGCCACAGCUAGUACAACACAAGAAAUCAGAUGGCAGUAGAGUGAGCAAUGGCCAGGGGCGAUAACUCCUCAGCGGUUUCAGAGUGCAGAUUGUUGUUCAAGGUGAGUCUUAAACUUGCAUUCUUGUCUCUUACAUGAUAUACUAAUCUAGAGGUUGAGUCAUGGCAACUGGACUUGUUUUUAGGUCGAAAUGUUUCACUAC